CUUUGAUGAUGGGGGAAACUAGUACACAAUUUCUUAAACCUCUCCCAAUACUCAUAUAAAGUUUCUCUAUUGUAUUGUAUGAUGCUAUAAAUUUCCUUUUAUGUAUUG